ACGAUUUGUCGCGAGAGAGGGUUUGUUUACAUAACAGGUUAAGUGAAUUUACGUAGUAGGUUAGAAGAAUUACGUUAAUGUUAGGAAAAGAGUUAGGGUGAGAUUUCGCCUCAAAAUUACAGUCAAGUGUUGUCCCCGAAGCGACCACUAGAUGAAGCUGUAGGCCAAAUCCUUCUAGCCAUAACGCUAGAAACAAAAACAUACUAUCUGUGGCGACAAAUCAUCAUUAUCAAAACACGGGCUUGCAAGACAUUGAUGUAUAAAUACAUUUAAAAACGGGGCUUCCUUCAAGCUUGAUUUGGCCGGCGCUGCGUUGAUAAAAUGACAAAUAUUCGUCGUGAUAAUUCUCAAAGUUUAUCAAAAGCUUGGAUUGCACUGAGGAGACUUGAUAAAAACGAUGACAGAGUCAUUGCAUUACAAGAGGUCACCAUUCCAAAGGGUAUGGAGGCCACUACAGUUAAACAGAUCAUAACACAUUUGUUUGGAUUGAAUUCUGCUAAUGUGACACAGACAUUUAAGAUAAGAAACCACAAGGGCUGUCUGAUUCCAUUCAACAGCUUUAUACCGGUGAACAGCAAGCACAUGCCAUAUGUGCUGGAAGUGGCAACAGUCUUUCAGCAUGUCAUUCCAAAACCACGGACCAUUGCCAUGACAGUAAUCAAUAAAAGUAUGCGAACAAGACUACAAGGUGUUGUCAGAAGGUGAGACUUGAAGAACUGUUUCCUCAGAUUAAAUUAAGACGUCAUGAGAAAAUUUAUCAGGAAAUAGAGUUGCUGAACCAACAGUUGAGAUUUCUUCAUAAAAGAAUGCAGAUGGCCGAUUCUCACAGAUGGAUGGGGAUGUUCAUCAGAACCCCUAUGUGGUAGAACAAAACACCUAGGCCCAACAUGUUUUAUGUACUUUCCAUUUGUUUAUACUGUCAAUUUUACCAUAGCCAUAUGAGCAGAUUUAAGAGUAAUGGUAAACCUGGUUAAUAUAUACCUAUUAUGACAAUGUAUUAUCUGAUGUUAUCUGUAGUGUAGCAUAUCUUGAAAAUGUAUGAGUUUGAGUGGUGUAGAAAACCAAUUUGCUGUUGGAGAUACUUGGUAUAAAAUGUUAACCCCCCCAAAAAACUGAGCUUAUUAGUAUUUUGGGCACGGUAGUUCCAACUAGCCUUUGUACAAGUCUGUUUGUGCAAUCAUUCCACCACCUAACAUGACAAGGGGAGUGGCAAGGAGUAGAAUGAUAUCACAAAUAGACUUGUACCCACCCAGGCUAGCUCCAAACCACUUGCGGUAUGAAACGAUUGGCAUGAUGCUUUAGUGCUUUGCUACAUGAUUGUGCAACCUUUCCAUCCCCAUUACUGAUUAAAUAAAAAGGGUU